rnacentral:rRNA from 1 species
GUGGGGAAUCUUCCGCAAUGGACGAAAGUCUGACGGAGCAACGCCGCGUGAGUGAAGAAGGUUUUCGGAUCGUAAAGCUCUUUCGUUAGGGACGAACGUGCUCUUUGUGAAUAAUGAGGAGUAAUGACGGUACCUAAAUAAGAAGCCACGGCUAACUACGUGCCAGCAGCCGCGGUAAUACGUAGGUGGCAAGCGUUGUCCGGAAUUAUUGGGCGUAAAGCGCGCGCAGGCGGGAUAUCAAGUCUGUCUUAAAAGUGCGAGGCUCAACCUCGUGAGGGGACAGAAACUGGUAUUCUUGAGUGUCGGAGAGGAAAGUGGAAUUCCAAGUGUAGCGGUGAAAUGCGUAGAGAUUUGGAAGAACACCAGUGGCGAAGGCGGCUUUCUGGACGGUGUCUGACGCUGAGGCGCGAAAGCCAGGGGAGCGAACGGGAUUAGAUACCCUGGUAGUCC